UAAAGCUGCCUGAUCUACAGACAUGAAA
rnacentral:piRNA from 1 species